CAUCCGAUCUCGGACUUUCCAUAGCAGUGAUAUCCAUAUUUCUAAGUUAUUUAGUAAUUCCUUUUGGUUAUAAGCUUGUUUUAGCCGAUCUUAGUAUUGGGGUUUUUUUCUGGAUCGCCGCUUCAAGUAUUGCUCCCGUUUGACUUCUUAUGUCCGGAUAUGGAUCAAAUAAUAAAUAUUCCUUUUU